UGUUUGCACCCCAGUUCAUCUCUGGGCAGGGUUGGGUUUCAAGAACUCCUGCAGCUGUUUUCAUGUAGCAGGUUAAAACAAGACCUACAAUACCAGCAUCCCAGACGGGCACAGGUUCAUGUCCCAGCUAUUGCAAUUCUGAUCCAGCUCCCUGCUGAUGGCAGUGGAAGAUGACCAAUUGCUUGGAACCCUACACUCAUUUGGGAGAUGCGGAUUAAGUUCCUGGCCCCUGACCUGGUCCUGGUUCACCAUGGAUGGAAGUCAGUCUGUCAGUCUCUCUCUCACUCUCUAUCUCCCUUUCUUCUUUUUCAUGUAUCCCAUGGGAGCAUGUGCCUGAUGACAGCACUGGGCCCCAGGGACAGUGAGCAUCCCUGCCUGGCCCUGGGAUGCCUGUGUGCCUGGUCACCAAGACCUGCUAGGCCUCUGCCAUCAGGGUAGCCACCUCCCCUGUUCCUUCUCAGCCCUGGGCUGAAGCUCAGGCAGGAGGAGGGUGACACUGGUCCUUUCCUGGCCUUGCCUGGGAGAGGAACAGUGCUUGGUUUGGGACCCAUUUAAUAAUUCUUUCUUUUACCUUUCAGUGAGAAACUUCCCAACAAUGACACCGUUGGGAAGAAGUAUAAAUUCCAGGCAGCUCGCAGAGUACAGAAAUGGAUUAAAAUGCUUAAAAACCAUGACAAAUAUUGCAGCACCAAAAAGUUUCAUAGGAGAGUUUCCAAGGGUAUCCCUGCCGAGGUGCGUGGGGAGGCUUGGUCUAUGAUCCUGGAUAUACAAAAGAGGAAGACCCAGAACCCAGGGCGAUAUGAGGUAUGCCAGGGCCCUGAGCCUGAGGUGGCCCACCUUCUCAGGCCUGGCCAGGAGCCAGCGGCUCUCGUGUGGUGGACAUUGAAGCCCAGGCUGAGUGGCCCUUCAGGUGGGCCUAGGGUUCCCCUUCCCCUGGCCUUCCUCUCUGGAUCUUGCUUCAGUCUUCCUGCUCAUCUCCAUAGACUCCGCUGGGCCUGGCCACCUGCACAUCUGCUGGAGGCACAGCCCUCCUCCUUGUUGGGCCCCCACCCCCAGCUGCUUGGCCACAGGAAGGCCCAGAGCAGGUGCAGGGUCCCGGUGAAGAGACUGCUUGGAGUGAGAGCACGGUCACGUGUGCUAGGGGCCCUCAGCUGGUUCUGUCUGCACCCACAGGGGAGUGAGCUUCCUCAGGGAACUCGCUCCUUGAGCCAGAAGAGCUGCUGUGGACGUGGGGUGCUUGAGGGGUGGUGGGCCCGUGCCUGGCACUGAGGCUGGUGUCUCCCCCUUGCCCCGCCCUGCAGCAACUGAAAGAGAGGGCCAGGCUCUGCUCAGACCAUGUUCAGGAGAUCGAUGUGGAUAUUUUGUGG